ACUCAAAUGAAUAGACGGGGACUUGCACAAGCAGUGGAUUAUGCGGUUUAAUUCGAUGACAAACGAAAAACCUUACCAAGGUUAGAAAUCUACGUGAAGCCAAGCAGAAACGUUUGGCGUCCGCAAGGACUCGUAGACAGGUGUUGCAUGGCCGUCGUCAGUUCGUGAUUUGAAUUGUUCCCUUAAGUGGGGUAACGAACGCAACCCUCGUUGCCAGUUAUAUAUGUCUGGCGAGACUGCCCCCGUUCGUGGGCAGGAGUCCGGGAAGGACUCGUGAGUACGAACGGGGGAGGAAGGCGAGGAUGACGCCAGGUCAGCAUGACCCUCUGAUACCUUGGGCCACACGCAUAAUACAAUCGCAUCUACAACGGGUCGCGACGGGGUAACCCUGAGCUAAUCCUAAGAAAAGGUGCGCCAGUUCGGAUUGGGGGCUGAAACUCGACCCCAUGAAGCCGGAAUUGCUAGUAAUCGCGGGUCAGCUAUACCGCGGUGAAUACGUUCUCAAGUCUUGUACACACCGCCCGU
rnacentral:rRNA from 1 species